rnacentral:rRNA from 1 species
GAUGAACGCUGGCGGCGUGCCUAAUACAUGCAAGUCGAGCGAACGGACGAGAAGCUUGCUUCUCUGAUGUUAGCGGCGGAAGGGUGAGUAACACGUGGAUAACCUACCUAUAAGACUGGGAUAACUUCGGGAAACCGUAGCUAAUACCGGAUAAUAUUUUGAACCGCAUGGUUCAAAAGUGAAAGACGGUCUUGCUGUCACUUAUAGAUGGAUCCGCGCUGCAUUGGCUAGUUGGUAAGGUAACGGCUUACCAAGGCAACGAUGCAUAGCCGACCUGAGAGCGUGUAGCGCGACACUGGGAGUGAGCCGCCAUCCUGAGUCCUACGGGCGGCAGAGGUAGCGACUGUUGGCAGCUGUGCGGAAUCCUGCCCGAGCAGCGCAGGGCUGGUGCAGCAGGGCUGCGGACCGUAUGACGCUCUUCGUAUGGUAGACCGCUUGCGUCAGUAGCUGUGCACGUCGUGACGGUACCUAAUCAGAAAGCACCGGCUAACUACGUG